GAUGAACGCUAGCGGCAGGCCUAAUACAUGCAAGUCGGACGGGAUUCAGGAGCUUGCUUCUGAUGAGAGUGGCGCACGGGUGCGUAACACGUAUGUAACCUACCUUUAUCAGGGGGAUAGCCUCUCGAAAGAGAGAUUAAGCCCGCAUAAAAUCACAGCACAGCAUUGUGUAAUGAUCAAAUAUUUAUAGGAUAAAGAUGGGCAUGCGGAACAUUAGCUAGAUGGCGGGGUAACGGCCCACCAUGGCGACGAUGUUUAGGGGAUCUGAGAGGAUGGCCCCCCACACUGGUACUGCGACACGGACCAGACUCCUACGGGAGGCAGCAGUAAGGACUAUUGGUCAAUGGGCGGAAGCCUGAACCAGCCAUGCCGCGUGAAGGAAGACGGCCCUACGGGUUGUAAACUGCUUUUAUACGGGAAUAAACCCAGAUACGUGUAUCUGGCUGAAUGUACUGUAAGAAUAAGGAUCGGCUAACUCCGUG
rnacentral:rRNA from 1 species